rnacentral:misc_RNA from 1 species
GAUGAAGAACGUAGCGAAAUGCGAUACGUAAUGUGAAUUGCAAAUUCAGUGAAUCAUCGAGUCUUUGAACGCACAUUGCGCCCCCUGGUAUUCCGGGGGGCAUGCCUGUCCGAGCGUCAUUGCUGCCCUCAAGCACGGCUUGUGUGUUGGGCCCCGUCCUCCGAUCCCGGGGGACGGGCCCGAAAGGCAGCGGCGGCACCGCGUCCGGUCCCCGAGCGUAUGGGGCUUUGUCACCCGCUCUGUAGGCCCGGCCGGCGCUUGCCGAUCAACCCAAAUUUUUAUCCAGGUUGACCUCGGAUCAGGUAGGGAUACCCGCUGAACUUAAGCAUAUCAAUAAGCGGAGGA